GCCACAGAGCGCCAUCUGAUUAGUUUCUUGUUAAUUAUCAUGCAAAUGUGCGUGUUUGGUGUGUGAUAGUUUAAACUGUGAGGGACUGUAGCAGUGAAAAAUGAAAGUACCCGCCCCCAUGACGUCAUUUAGCGGACCUAGCUGAAAACCAGACAGAUCAGGCAGCAUAAUACAGAGAAAGGCAGCAGCUUUACAACCUGUCAUUCAAUCAGAAGAAGACAAAGUCAAAGCCGAGCUGACAGCCAAUCUUUCCUAGACUCAGCAAAACUAGCAAAAAUACCUCUGUAUUCCUGCAACUGCAAUAUUUACACAAAUAUUUCUUAUUCAAAUCUUCAGCACCACUAUUUAACUCGUGAAUUUGUUUUACAUUUAUUUACACCUUGACCAAUUUUUGUAUAACAUGGCCAUUAAAAAUACAAUGUUCCUUAACCAGAUGGUUUUCAAGUUACUUAUAAAGAGAAUGUUACUUCAGUCAUGUUGUUGUAAUGUUUUGAGAAGACCAGUAACACAAUAAAAAAAAAAUCUAAAU
rnacentral:lncRNA from 1 species